rnacentral:rRNA from 1 species
AGAGUUUGAUCCUGGCUCAGAGUGAACGCUGGCGGCAGACCUAACACAUGCAAGUCGAACGGCAGCACAGUAGAGCUUGCUCUAUGGGUGGCGAGUGGCGGACGGGUGAGGAAUGCGUCGGAAUCUGCCUUUUUGUGGGGGAUAACGUAGGGAAACUUACGCUAAUACCGCAUACGACCUACGGGUGAAAGUGGGGGACCUUCGGGCCUCACGCAGAAAGAUGAGCCGACGCCGGAUUAGCUAGUUGGCGGGGUAAAGGCCCACCAAGGCGACGAUCCGUAGCUGGUCUGAGAGGAUGAUCAGCCACACUGGGACUGAGACACGGCCCAGACUCCUACGGGAGGCAGCAGUGGGGAAUAUUGGACAAUGGGCGCAAGCCUGAUCCAGCCAUGCCGCGUGUGUGAAGAAGGCCUUCGGGUUGUAAAGCACUUUUGUCCGGAAAGAAAUCCAAUCGAUCAAUACCCGGUUGGGAUGACGGUACCGGAAGAAUAAGCACCGGCUAACUUCGUGCCAGCAGCCGCGGUAAUACGAAGGGUGCAAGCGUUACUCGGAAUUACUGGGCGUAAAGCGUGCGUAGGUGGUUUGCUAAGUCUGAUGCGAAAGCCCUGGGCUCAACCUGGGAACGGCAUUGGAUACUGGCUUACUAGAGUGCGGUAGAGGGUAGUGGAAUUCCCGGUGUAGCAGUGAAAUGCGUAGAUAUCGGGAGGAACAUCUGUGGCGAAGGCGACUACCUGGACCAGCACUGACACUGAGGCACGAAAGCGUGGGGAGCAAACAGGAUUAGAUACCCUGGUAGUCCA